UCAAGUUGCUGAAUUUGACCU
rnacentral:piRNA from 1 species